GGUGGGUUGGCUCAGUGGUUCGAGCGUAGGUCUCGUAACCGAAAGGUCGCGGGAUCGAAUCCCGCUAGAGGCUG
rnacentral:tRNA from 1 species